CAAACUGGAGAUGGCGACCGGCGCACGGGUGAGUAACACGUAUCCAACCUGCCGAUAACUCGGGGAUAGCCUUUCGAAAGAAAGAUUAAUACCCGAUGGCAUAAUAGAACCGCAUGGUUUGAUUAUUAAAGAAUUUCGGUUAUCGAUGGGGAUGCGUUCCAUUAGGCAGUUGGUGGGGUAACGGCCCACCAAACCUUCGAUGGAUAGGGGUUCUGAGAGGGAGGUCCCCCACAUUGGAACUGAGACACGGUCCAAACUCCUACGGGAGGCAGCAUG
rnacentral:rRNA from 1 species